GCCUGUGCCACCAUGUGCCCCCCCCAUCUCCUCCCUCUGCCAGCCAUGUUGGCUCUCGCCAGCAGCAGAAGGUGCGACUUUCCUUCUCAAGCUUUGACAAGCAGACGAAGAGGAGGGGUGAGGAGCGGAGGGCCCCUGUGAGGGAUGACGGGAGCCCAGCUGAUGGACAGAGGUGCUAACCCCAUCGUCGGGCAGGGGGGAGAUAGCAGCGUUCUUGUUUACACACACUGAGGCCCGAUUGUCACCUUGUCUGUCAGGGGAACAUCCUAUCUGCCGCCUCUUAUCUUGCCACAAGACAGCCAGCUACUCUGCUGGAGAGACCUGCUGCAUCUCCACAUCACCACAAAUCAUUUCUCUCACCUAUACCUCUGUUGUAUCCCAUAUUAUUUUCUCCUUCUCUUCCUCAGGUACUUCUAUACACUCGUCCUCCUGUCCUCAAAUAGCCUCCGCUCACACGCACUUGGCGAACUCUUCAGCAUUGGUUGAUGGUGACCCUUUGGCCCAGUCCUCGCAGGAGCCGCUGAAGUGUUUAAAUUAUCCACAAAAAGUGCUUUGUGGGAAGAAAACUUGUCAUGACAACCAAGUGUUGGCGUGCUUUAUUCAAAAGUGAGCAGCCUAUUCGAUUAAACAGUG